AUUAGGCAAAUGAUGAAUCUGAAAUGGUGUAAAUGGGUAAUUCGCAUCUAAAUAUCGUUGAUGUUAAAAUCUCCUUGGAUAACUGAUGCCCUAA